AUUGAACGCUGGCGGCAGGCCUAACACAUGCAAGUCGAGCGGAUGAAGGGAGCUUGCUCCUGGAUUCAGCGGCGGACGGGUGAGUAAUGCCUAGGAAUCUGCCUGGUAGUGGGGGAUAACGUCCGGAAACGGGCGCUAAUACCGCAUACGUCCUGAGGGAGAAAGUGGGGGAUCUUCGGACCUCACGCUAUCAGAUGAGCCUAGGUCGGAUUAGCUAGUUGGUGGGGUAAAGGCCUACCAAGGCGACGAUCCGUAACUGGUCUGAGAGGAUGAUCAGUCACACUGGAACUGAGACACGGUCCAGACUCCUACGGGAGGCAGCAGUGGGGAAUAUUGGACAAUGGGCGAAAGCCUGAUCCAGCCAAGCCGCGUGUGUGAAGAAGGUCUUCGGAUUGUAAAGCACUUUAAGUUGGGGGGAAGGGCAGUAAGUUAAUACCUUGCUGUUUUGACGUUACCAACAGAAUAAGCACCGGCUAACUUCGUG
rnacentral:rRNA from 1 species